UACGAGUACGAACAUUAAAUUGUAUGCGAGUCUUGUCGGCCGAGAAAAAUCAUUCAUUACUGUAGUGCACAAGAAAAAACACCUGGUAUUUGCAUGACGACGAGCUGGCCUUAUACAAAGCGAUUUUUAGCGUUGCCAGAUAUUUUUACUGACGCGAACAAAUAUGGCGGAUAGCACAUAAAAAAUUUUCAACGAAUAUCGAUAGUAUCGAUAUUCUGACUUUCCAGUUUUUAUAGUUUAAGAGUUGAUGUGGUAUCUAUCGAGACCUAGUAAUAUCGAUGAAUAUAAAUGUAUAGAAUAUUAAUCGUAUGCUAUGAAUAAAAAUCACUGCACUUUUAAAAAUUA